rnacentral:rRNA from 1 species
AGAGCGAACGCUGGCGGCAGGCCUAACACAUGCAAGUCGAACGGACUCUUCGGAGUUAGUGGCGGACGGGUGAGUAACACGUGGGAACGUGCCUUUAGGUUCGGAAUAGCUCCUGGAAACGGGUGGUAAUACCGAGUGUGCCCUUCGGGGGAAAGAUUUAUCGCCUUUAGAGCGGCCCGCGUCUGAUUAGCUUGUUGGUGAGGUAAUGGCUCACCAAGGCUACGAUCAGUAGCUGGUCUGAGAGGAUGACCAGCCACAUUGGGACUGAGACACGGCCCAAACUCCUACGGGAGGCAGCAGUGGGAAUCUUGCGCAAUGGGACGAAAGCCUGACCGCAGCCAUGCCGCGUGUAUGAUGAAGGUCUUAAGGAUUAGUAAAAUUACUUUCGAACCGGUUGAAGAUAAUGAACUGUAGCCGGAAGAACGAACGCCCCGGACUAACUUCGCGACCAGCCAGCCGAC